AAUUUAGUUUAUUUCUAUCACAACUCUGGGAAGCCCCUAACUCGCAUUUGUUUUGAGUAUCACAAGAAAAGCAAGCCCAAAGAAACUACAAAAACAACUUUGCCUCUUCGGUAAUGCGCACGCGCCCCUCCCUCUGUUUUCCGUUGGUCUUAAGCCCCGCCCCUUGUGCGUCCUUCGAGGAGGGUUGCGAGCCGUGAGCUCGCGCGACCACUCUUCCCUCAGUCUUCUCGAGCACAUCGUCGCAAACGGGGCCGGAAAGCGUGGCAGCGCAGGCGCAAGCGCAGAGAGCGGAGGCGGUGGUGGUGGCGGCCGCUGGCCAGUGUAAGAUGGCGGCGGCGUUGGUGGUGGCAGUGGACGGGGCGGCUGGGCCUGGAACAGUCGGAGCAGCCGCUAGCAGAAGGAUGACCCAAGACGGGAAGCGGGCUGCUGAGCCUCGCCGAUUCCCGUGCUUGUAACUGCCCCAGCCGGACACCCCCCCCCCUUGACCUUACCCGUCCUUCAGUGAAUCGACAGACCUAUUUUCUCAGGAGCUCAACCUGGCCUUACUUCAGUGAUAAAAGGAGGAAAGGCUGGCUACAGCAAACAUCAUUCAAGAUGUCCAGCAAAGGGAGCAGCACAGAUGGCAGAACAGACUUAGCUAAUGGAAGCCUGUCUAGCAGUCCAGAAGAGAUGUCUGGAGCUGAAGAGGGGAGGGAGACAUCCUCAGGCAUUGAAGUGGAGGCCUCAGACCUGAGUUUGAGUUUGACUGGGGAUGAUGGUGGCCCCAACCGCACCAGCACAGAAAGUCGAGGCACAGACACAGAGAGCUCAGGUGAAGAUAAGGACUCUGACAGCAUGGAGGACACUGGUCAUUACUCCAUUAAUGAUGAAAAUAGAGUCCAUGACCGCUCAGAGGAAGAGGAAGAGGAGGAAGAAGAGGAGGAAGAAGAGCAGCCUCGGCGCCGUGUACAGCGCAAGCGGGCUAACCGUGACCAGGACUCAUCAGAUGAUGAGCGGGCCCUAGAGGACUGGGUGUCCUCAGAAACAUCAGCUCUACCCCGACCUCGCUGGCAAGCCCUCCCUGCCCUUCGGGAGCGGGAGCUGGGUUCAAGUGCCCGCUUUGUCUAUGAGGCCUGUGGGGCAAGAGUCUUUGUGCAGCGUUUCCGCCUACAGCAUGGGCUUGAGGGCCAUACUGGUUGUGUCAAUACCCUGCACUUUAACCAGCGCGGCACCUGGCUGGCCAGUGGCAGCGAUGACCUGAAGGUGGUGGUGUGGGAUUGGGUGCGGCGGCAGCCAGUACUGGACUUUGAGAGUGGCCACAAAAGUAAUGUGUUCCAGGCCAAGUUUCUUCCUAACAGUGGUGAUUCCACUCUGGCCAUGUGUGCCCGUGAUGGGCAGGUUCGGGUAGCAGAACUGUCUGCUACACAGUGUUGCAAGAAUACAAAACGUGUGGCCCAGCACAAAGGAGCGUCCCACAAGUUGGCUCUGGAACCAGACUCUCCCUGUACAUUCUUAUCUGCAGGUGAAGAUGCAGUUGUUUUCACCAUUGACCUGAGACAAGACCGCCCAGCUUCGAAACUGGUGGUGACAAAAGAGAAAGAGAAGAAAGUGGGACUGUAUACGAUCUUUGUGAAUCCUGCCAAUACCCACCAGUUUGCAGUGGGUGGACGAGAUCAGUUUGUAAGGAUUUAUGACCAGAGGAAAAUUGAUGAGAACGAGAACAAUGGAGUACUCAAGAAGUUCUGUCCUCAUCACCUGGUGAACAGUGAGUCCAAAGCAAACAUCACCUGUCUUGUGUACAGCCACGACGGCACAGAGCUCCUGGCCAGUUACAAUGAUGAAGACAUUUACCUCUUCAACUCCUCUCACAGUGAUGGGGCCCAGUAUGUUAAGAGAUACAAGGGCCACAGAAAUAAUGCCACAGUAAAAGGCGUCAAUUUCUAUGGCCCUAAGAGUGAGUUUGUGGUGAGCGGUAGUGACUGUGGGCACAUCUUCCUCUGGGAGAAAUCAUCCUGCCAGAUUAUUCAGUUCAUGGAGGGGGACAAGGGAGGCGUGGUGAGUAUGGUAUGCUGAGCUGGCUGGCUCCCUAAUCUCUCCAGUCAUUAAGGUAGGUUUUAGCAGGGACACUGAAUUCUGUGACUACAUAAUACCAUGUUUUAGAGGUCCAACCAGCCAUAAAAGGCUAGUUAGCCUGGGGGUGCUGAGUUUUUGAUGGAGUAUUUUCUUCCUGUUCCUAUCUUCUGUCCCUGUAAAGCACAGUUUAUUGAGACAAGAAAGGGAUCUUAGGGAAGAACCUCUGUCCUGUCCUGAGUGAUGUAACUUAUCUCUAGGCAUGCACCUUUUCCAAAUGAAAAAGUGUUAGUGUUCAGGGCACACCCUCCUACACAAGGCUAAAGAUUUCUCUAUGUCUCUUCCCUUUAAACUAAACUAAGUAGUGAUCUUGGCUGGAUCUUAGAUCAGCAGAUAAAAACUAUAAAGAGCAUUUUUUGGACAGUUGGGAAAAUUAGAAUAUGGUUUAUACAUUAGAUAACAUGGUAUUCAAUAUUACAUUUAUUUGAUUUGAUUACUUAUGUAGGAGAAUAUUCUUGUACUUAAGAUAUACAUGUUGAAGUAUUUAGGGGUGAAGUGUCAUGCUUACAUUCAAAUAGGUAACAAACACAUAUAAAUGUGUAUAUGUAAGGAGAAAGCAAAUGUAAUUUUUUUCUAGUAGUUGAGCAGUCUGCUUGCUGUAUAACCCAUGAUCAUAUCAUAGUCUGCCUGUCCUUUGAGUUCUGCAGACCUCUGUGGAGUUAGGUCAAAAAGGAAGAGUGAGAAUCGAGUUAGGGAAUGAAGAGCCAUCAGCUCUCUAGAUGUAUCUGGUUAACCUUAUCUUUUUUUUUUUUUUUUUUCAUUUUUGAGACCUAGAAUUAGGAAAGAGUUCAAUUGCUUUCUGUUACAAGGUUUUUGGACCACAGGAGAUGGAAAGACAGUUUGAAAGACUAAAUUAUACUGAUUGUCUAGAAUAGUCUGGUUACCCAAGACCUCUAAGGAAUGACUGAGACAGCUUAGUCUCUCUUCCUUUUUAUUCCUUCUUAGCUGUGGGGAACUUUACAGAGCCUAGCCAUCUCUUGAUGAAGUUUUUUUCAGAGAGUGGUUUUAGAAUUUAGAAUGGUUCCUUGCAAUCAGGAUCCCAUUCCUUAUGUUUUUCUUGCCCUGGUAUGAGGGUAUUUCAAAUUUUCUUCUGGUUUCCUCUAAAUUUUGGGGACCUGGGACCUGCAUAGAUCUAGGGUUUUUAUGGUUUGAAUACAAAUGGAGAGGAAUCUAGAAGUUCAAGAUGUGUCUCACUCUUCCCUGCUUCAUUUCCUACUCUUCCAUAGGUCCCCCUGUGUCAUCUGCAGUGAACAAACCCAAAACACUUGAGUCUUAAUGGGAAUUAUGCAAUAGGCAUUUAGAGAAAGGAAGUCAGAAGGGGCCAGUGAAUUUUUUCUUGACAUAAGCUAUUGCCUUGCAUUCUGUUCCAGAGAGAUGCAGGGCUGAAUGCCCUCUGCCAGGCCAGCAUUUGUCCAUUCUCCAAAAGCAUUCUGCAGGCCAGUUUGCUUUUAGCUCAGCCAAUGCCAGGGUUUGAUGAUUAACCCAUUUGCCCAGGUGAGGAAGGCAUUUACUUGGGAUGGGUGGGCCCUAGGCCUAAGUUUUAGUGGUCCUAAGAGUAAAUAAGUAGAAUAAGAGAUAUAGAGGCUACCCCUGAAGCAAAUUUCCUUACAUAUUCUUGUCUCUGUGUAAGCUGAAUGAUCGAUGUGGUCUUUUACUUGGCUCCCUCUGUUCUGUUUUUGGUCCUAAUUUUCCAGCAGUGGGGGUCACCAGGCACUAGUUUCAAUGUAGUAGACUCAGCAGUUCUAUAUCAUGCAAAUUGUAAAUGUAGAGUAGAAUGUAAUUGUAACGUAGAAUGUUAGAACCAAAGAUCUUAGAAGUUAUUUUCUAACUUGCCCAGAUCUCCUGACUCUGAUUUGAGGAUCAUUUCUUUGUUCCCAUUCAGCUUCACAGGGACAAGAAUGGGGGGUGGUAUCAGAGGACAGCCCCUUAGUCUCCCAAGAGCACUUUGAUGCUUGAUCCCAUUCUCUACAUUCCCCCAGCCCAGUCAUCUAAGGCCAGAGCUCUUUUCUCUGCUCAGGCAUUAUUGACAGGAUAAGUCCUGGCAUUCAGACAGGUCUGGUGAAGUGACCAGGUACUCUGGCCCAGAAGUUCUCUGUCGGCUCCCCCCGCAGGCUCCAAUUCAGGUAAACUGUCUUGAGCCCCACCCUCACCUGCCUGUGCUGGCAACCAGUGGCCUAGACCAUGAUGUGAAGAUCUGGGCACCCACAGCUGAAGCUUCCACUGAGCUGACAGGGUUAAAAGAUGUGAUUAAGAAGAACAAGCGGGAGCGGGAUGAAGAUAGCUUGCACCACCCUGACCUGUUUGAUAGUCACAUGCUGUGGUUCCUUAUGCAUCACUUGA